rnacentral:rRNA from 1 species
GACGAACCGUGCGAACGUUGUUCGGAAUCACUGGGCUUAAAGGGUGCGUAGGCGGGUUGUCCAGUCUGGGGUGAAAUCCCACGGCUCAACCGUGGAAUUGCCUCAGAUACUGACGACCUCGAGGGAGGCAGGGGCGGGCGGAACUGUGGGUGGAGCGGUGAAAUGCGUUGAUAUCCACAGGAACUCCGGUGGCGAAGGCGGCCCGCUGGACCUCUUCUGACGCUGAGGCACGAAAGCUAGGGGAGCAAACGGG